GAUGAAGAACGCAGCAAAAUGCGAUAAGUAAUGUGAAUUGCAGAAUUCAGUGAAUCAUCGAAUCUUUGAACGCACAUUGCGCCCGCCAGUAUUCUGGCGGGCAUGCCUGUUCGAGCGUCAUUUCAACCCUCAAGCCCUCGGGUUUGGUGUUGGGGAUCGGCGAGCCUUUCUGGCAAGCCGGCCCCGAAAUCUAGUGGCGGUCUCGCUGCAGCCUCCAUUGCGUAGUAGUAAAACCCUCGCAACUGGAACGCGGCGCGGCCAAGCCGCUAAACCCCCAACUUCUGAAUGUUGACCUCGGAUCAGGUAGGAAUACCCGCUGAACUUAAGCAUAUCAAUAAGCGGAGGA
rnacentral:misc_RNA from 1 species